rnacentral:rRNA from 1 species
GAGUUUGAUCGUGGCUCAGAGCGAACGCUGGCGGCAGGCUUAACACAUGCAAGUCGAGCGGGCGUAGCAAUACGUCAGCGGCAGACGGGUGAGUAACGCGUGGGAACGUACCUUUUGGUUCGGAACAACACAGGGAAACUUGUGCUAAUACCGGAUAAGCCCUUACGGGGAAAGAUUUAUCGCCAAAAGAUCGGCCCGCGUCUGAUUAGCUAGUUGGUGAGGUAACGGCUCACCAAGGCGACGAUCAGUAGCUGGUCUGAGAGGAUGAUCAGCCACAUUGGGACUGAGACACGGCCCAAACUCCUACGGGAGGCAGCAGUGGGGAAUAUUGGACAAUGGGCGCAAGCCUGAUCCAGCCAUGCCGCGUGAGUGAUGAAGGCCCUAGGGUUGUAAAGCUCUUUUGUGCGGGAAGAUAAUGACGGUACCGCAAGAAUAAGCCCCGGCUAACUUCGUGCCAGCCGCCGCCGU